rnacentral:rRNA from 1 species
GACACAGGGAGGUAGUGACAAGAAAUAAGAAUACGGGGCUUGAAGUCUUGUAAUUGGAAUGAUGGGAAUUUAAACCCCUUCCAGAGUAUCAAUUGGAGGGCAAGUCUGGUGCCAGCAGCCGCGGUAAUUCCAGCUCCAAUAGCGUAUAUUAAACUUGUUGCAGUUAAAAAGCUCGUAGUUGAAUUUCUGCUGCAUCGUGGUUCUUCGCUAUGUCGAGUGAUCUUCGUUGUGGCUUAGUUGGGGCAUGUUUUCAUGACUCGACGUUUACUUUGAGAAAAUUAGAGUGCUUCAAGCAGGCUUUUGCCUUGAAUACUUUAGCAUGGAAUAAUGGAGUAGGACUUUGGUUCUAUUUUGUUGGUUUUAGGAGCCGGAGUAAUGGUUAAUAGGAACAGUUGGGGGCAUUCGUAUUUGACUGUCAGAGGUGAAAUUCUUAG